UACGUAGGGUGCAAGCGUUAAUCGGAAUUACUGGGCGUAAAGCGCGCGUAGGUGGUUUGUUAAGUUGGAUGUGAAAGCCCCGGGCUCAACCUGGGAACUGCAUCCAAAACUGCAAGCUAGAGUACGGUAGAGGGUGGUGGAAUUUCCUGUGUAGCGGUGAAAUGCGUAGAUAUAAGGAAGGAACACCAGUGGCGAAGGCGACCACCUGGACUGAUACUGACACUGAGGUGCGAAAGCGUGGGGAGCAAACAGG
rnacentral:rRNA from 1 species